CUCCUUACCAAUGGCGAUGCACGCACCCAGGGUGGCUGUUUGCCCUCUCUCGUUUGGAGCCCAGCACUCGCUCCUCCCUCCAAAACCCCAUAAUCGGCCGUUAUUCAUAUUCUUCGUCCGCCAUUAAAACCCAUAUUCCGAAACGCCCACCGAAUAGCCGCCAAGAGCCACGGCGGCGACGCCCUACAAGUAUACUUUAUCCUGACCCAAUUACCCAAUUCGCAGAAUCUGCAACUUGAAUUGUAUGUUGCAGGAGACCCAGAAUUUCAGGGCUGAGCAUUCCAGGAGGCUGUUGGAGGAGAAAGAGACUUUUGGGCCUGACCUCCACGGUGUGAUAGGCGUCUGUGCAGAGGCUCUCGGGCCAUCCUUUCGAGUUGGGCCUCUCACUCGGGCCUCCCUUGAGCCCCAUUGCUCGCAUGGGCUGGAACAGAUUGCUAGGGCUAUUGGGUCAUUUUUGUCGCUCGUCCAUCGGGCUACAGCUCACGCUGGAGUUGCUCUAAUGUGAGGGAAGUUAAUUGAAAAGAUUAAAGGAAUAGUACAAAGAGGAUACUCUGCGACUUCCAUUACCCCUAGGGAGUAGGAACUAUUACACAAGGAAAAUUAUCGAAUCAAAUACAAAAUUGACUAUGGUUGUCUCCUAACGUAGCAAAACCAUAUGCUGCCUUGUUAGCUUCUUGGAAAAAUAUGAUUUAGCCCAUGGUUAUGAAUUUGAGGGAAACUAAUAAAAUGCCAUUGUUUUCCCUCAUGCUUGUAACUCAAGUGGAUAAAAGUAUUCACCCUGCAAAUGCCUGAGUUCGAAAUUUUGGACCCAAUUUUGCUUGUAAAAAAUGAUUGAUGAACGCUGAACAUGUAACUCUGUGUAUGAGCAGUAACUGGAUCAUCUAGUACUAGAAAUAGGACUUGGUUGUGAACUUGUGGUGCACCCAAAACUCUCUAGGGGCAAAAUUAAUGGGCUAUUUAUUGUUCUCGACUUUCUGGUGCUGACUUAAGAGUUGAUUACCGAUGUGACAUGUGUUCUUAGCAUUCAUGGCAUCUUUAAUCUGUGAUCUGGGUGUUGGAUUUGAUUUCUGACUCACUUAUAGGCGUAGUCACCUAAUCUUUCCAUGGCUGGAAACUCUCUCCACCUUUUAAUCUCAAAUGCAAGCCAUGACCGGCUGGAGGGGGAAAGGGAUAUGAGGGAUUUCCUUUUCAAAUUUUAAGUUCUUACCCCAGUUGUAUGAUAAAGAUUGAUACCUGGGGCCUUUGAGUUGCAACUUUUUCGGUGCAAGCCAACCCUCUAUGUGAAUCAGCAAAACAUUUGUUCCUUUCUUUUAUAAUAUCUUUGGUGUGUGAGUGAGCCUGUGAGGCCACGAGUUUUGCUUGACCCGUAAAACAGUACAAUAAUUGAGCCUUUGGACAAAUAUCUGACUCGACUCCCCUGUAUUAUUUUCCAGACAGCUUCCAUUCUUUGUGGCAGAUGUUUUGACUCAUUACUACCUACAAUAUCAAUAUGUGGUGCAUGAAGCUUAAGUCUAAACUGCUGGGAGAUGGAUUCGAACUCAGAUGUAUAGGGUAGAGCACAUCCGCUAUAGCCAGUGUGGCUACGCCCACGUCUACAAAGUUAGAUUGCAUUACUAUUUGAAUGACUCAGAAUUAACCAAUUUAAUUUGUGGUUUCAACCCAGGUAAUCGGUGACUUCUUGCAAAAGGAGUAUGGAGGACCUGGGACAUUGUUGGCAGAGCUUGCACUUGGUUGGUCUGAAAGAGAAGGAACUACCAGGAGCACCUUUGGCUGCAAGAACAUCUCCGCUUUGGGCUCAAAUCAACCAUGAUCGAGACCGGGAAAUCAGGAACUCGAAAUCGCAAAAAUGAUGUUUCGUUUGUAAUCAACAAUAGUGUAAAUUUAAUUUAGUUUUGCAUUUCUCCAGACCAUUUUGUAUAUCAAACACCCAAAAAAUUGGGGAAAAGACCCAUUGUCUACCAGCAAGCUCACACUUCUAAUACAAUGUCAGAUUCAGUGCU